UCCAGUAGGUAUAGUGGUUAGUACUCUGCGUUGUGGCCGCAGCAAUUCCGGUUCGAAUCCGGGUUACGGCAU
rnacentral:tRNA from 1 species